rnacentral:rRNA from 1 species
AGAAUCAACGCUGGCGGCGUGCCUAACACAUGCAAGUCGAACGAGAAAGUGGAGCAAUCCACGAGUAAAGUGGCGCACGGGUGAGUAACACGUGACUAACCUACCCUUGAGUGGGGGAUAACCUAGGGAAACCUGGGCUAAUACCGCAUAAUACCUUCGGGUCAAAGGAGCAAUUCGCUUAAGCGAGGGGGUCGCGGCCGAUUAGUUAGUUGGCGGGGUAAUGGCCCACCAAGACGAUGAUCGGUAUCCGGCCUGAGAGGGCGCACGGACACACUGGAACUGAAACACGGUCCAGACUCCUACGGGAGGCAGCAGUGGGGAAUUUUGCGCAAUGGGGGAAACCCUGACGCAGCAACGCCGCGUGGAGGAUGAAGUCCCUUGGGAUGUAAACUCCUUUCGAUCGGGACGAUAAUGACGGUACCGGAAGAAGAAGCCCGGCUAACUUCGCGCCAGCAGCCGC